UGGGGAAUUUUUCGCAAUGGGGGAAACCCUGACGAAGCAACGCCGCGUGGAGGAUGAAGGCCUUCGGGUCGUAAACUCCUGUCGACCGGGACGAACGCUAUUGGGCCCAAUACGCCCGAUAGUCGACUGUACCGGUGGAGGAAGCCACGGCUAACUCUGUGCCAGCAGCCGCGGUAAUACAGAGGUGGCAAGCGUUGUUCGGAAUUACUGGGCGUAAAGGGCGCGUAGGCGGUCCUGUCAGUCCCGGGUGAAAUCCCUCGGCUCAACCGAGGAACUGCCUUGGAAACUGUCUGGCUCGAGGCCGGGAGAGGGUAGUGGAAUUCCCAGUGUAGCGGUGAAAUGCGUAGAUACUGGGAGGAACACCGGUGGCGAAAGCGGCUCACUGGACCAUCUCUGACGCUGAGGUGCGAAAGCUAGGGGAGCAAACGGGAUUAGAUACCCCCGUAGUCCCUGAGCGGGCUGGCAAGGCGCAU
rnacentral:rRNA from 1 species